rnacentral:lncRNA from 1 species
GGGGGAGCCGGGGCAGGAAGUGCAAACGCGGCUGGGAACGGAGAACGGGUCCGCCGGAUGCAGCCCUCGCUGCACACACUCGCUCCCCAAUGCGGUCAUCCCCGCGCUUCCCCGAAACCAACCGCAACCGGGAGGAACUCCCCAGCGCCCAGCGCACCCGCCCCGCCUCGGGCUGACCUUGGGAGGCCCCCGGAGCGCACCCUCCUCCUCGGGCGUCCGUCCUGCGCCGCACAGAAAGCCCUCCAAAGGCGUGGGCCGAGGGCAUCCUACCUGCUCGUGGCAAGGGGGCUGAAGUCCGUCGUCUGAGGUCCCCCCCAUCCAGCCCCUUGGCCGAGGUGUUGCGGCGGGGGGCUUCCUCCUGCCCGCUCCUCCCUCCUUCGGAGAUGGCCUGACUGCCCCCUGCCGGGCCCUGGAGAAGCAGAGGGAAAAGAUGGUCCUUGCCUUCAGGCGGUUUGCAUCCCAGAAAAUUGUUUCCUGCUUAUUUUCGUUUUAACUGUACUGAAUUUCAAAAAUUCGACAAAGCCAUAUUACAUGGAAUAAUUCAGUCUCGUUUCCACGCACCAACUGUUAAGAAUAACGGAUUCGUGCAAAUUUGAUUUGCAACAAGGUAGCGCUAGGUUGGAUUAAAGAAGAUUUAAAGGCAUGGGAGCUGCAGUGAUGCAGAGAGUCCUGGAAACAGAAGGCCUCCUCCCCGUGGACGUGGACGAAAGGCUGCCCCUCCAGGGAUCACCAGUUCUCCCCAUCUGCAGGGAAGAAUUCUCCAAAUCCCCAGUUCCAACGGGCCCCGAGUGUAUCAGGCGGUUCUUUCUAAACUGGAAGUGCUUGGUCCUUGACCAGCCGACAGGGGAAAAAAAUCUCUUACUCCAUAUUGAUAGCAUGCCAGAGGACCAGCUGGGUAGUAAUUUCCAGGUGCAUGAAAAACGUCUCUGUUCCUACUUCACCGCCUGCAGAGACGAAGAUCCCCAAAGAGGGCAUCACUGUCACUGGGAAGCAGGAGUCCCUUUGUCCUAAGGCUACCUCUGUGCUCAGUAUGUGUGGGGCUUUGCUUCUACUGUGGCUCAUCAGCAUGUGGUUUUUCAACAAGGCUUUAAAAUGCAGCUCCCCAGUCUCUUCAGAUAUAAACUCAUGGGAGAGACUGGCUGGGAUGGUGCCCACAUUCCAGCCCCACAUGUGUCAGGUUGGUGAAGUGGAAGGAGUCUCUUCUUCUGAAUCAGCUCCAUCCUGGGGGCAUGCUUUAUGCUGUCUGCUGCUUUGGACUCUGCUCUGCUCGAAUGAACUGCUUGUGGUUCUACAAGCUGGAUUUAACUCUCAGCCUCUGCACACAGUGCACAGAAGACGCUUUUGCUUCCUCAUCUGAUUCUCCUUAUUCUCGAAGCCCUGUUCCUCCUUACAGGGUCCUGUUUCCUAAUUUUCUGAGACUGGAUGAGGUGACCUUCAGUGUGCUGCCUUUGUACCUUGCAUGCUCUCCCUGCUACCAUAGCGCCUCUCAUAGAGUUGUGGCAUCGAAAUUACCCAUGUACUUUAGUCUCUCCUACGGUCCCUUGAUCUUGAGUAUUUGGUCACCGUCAUAUACCUUUGGUUCUUUGUGCAGAACUCACCGUAUCAAAAUCUCAUGUUGGCUGAAUAAAUAAAUCCAGGAAUUGCCGUUCAAUUCGCCAUGUCUUCACAUCAUUCCCUGCUCUCCCAGGGUUCUCAGAACACUGGACAAGGUUGAAGAAUUAGUGCAGAAGGGACUCCCUGAAGCUGAAAGGACAAGCCUGCUCCUCCGAACCUGAGCGGCUGAAACACAUGUGCUCUGUGGCCUCUAACUUCCUCCCGUGGCAAUUGCAAGGAAUUAAGCUAUUGCCACGGGCUCACAGACUAAUAAUGGGGCUUAAAACGGUAAAGUAAUUACCAGAAUCAUGAAAGCUCCUCCUGGUUCCACCACAGGUUUUUAAAAAAUGUGUUCAGUGUGCUUCUGCUGAAAUGAAAUCGGGCUUUUUCUGAGAACCCGUAUCUCACUUAACAUGAUGCCCACAGGGUGACGGCCUGGUGGAACCUGCACGCUGUCCACUGAACCAUGAGACAGCAGCUCUGCAGCCAGUCUUGAUGUCUCAGCUCUGCUUCCUGAAUGGGGGGGGGUGAGGUAAUUCUUAGACACCUUGCAGUUUCUCCAACCAGCACUGCAAUGAGAAGUCCUACAGCUGAGCCAGUCCCGAAGCCCGUUGGGAUCCCCUAGAGAAACGUGCUGCAGACAGCAUGUCUGGAUGGUCUGGAAAGGGACGAGGGGCAGGGAAAAGCUCUGUCCAUCUGCCUAGCACGAGGACCGGCAAAUGGAAUGUGAAGCACUCAGCACGCGAGAGCCGACGUGGAACUAGUGCUCUUUGUACAUCAGGAAGGGAACAAGGGUGAGUCGGAGGACAAGUUAUCCGAUGAGGUGGAACUAGUGCUCUUUGUACAUCAGGAAGGGAACAAGGGUGAGUCGGAGGACAAGAAAGCCGAGUCAGAGGACAAGUUAUCCAGUUUGAAGUUCAAGCAUAAUUUGUUACAGCUGCCAUACACUCCAAGAAAAGGCUCCAGGUAAAAGGCCUCCCACAUACUUGAAAACUAAUAAACAAUAUGGACUCAUUGAAGGAAGAACGAUCGAUUUCAAGUACCUUUUCAACAAUUUUUUGGAAGUCAAGAUCACAACCAUUCUUGCUUGUGUGGUUUUGAUACACUAGCAGCUUGGCCAGUUCUAGAAUUCUCUCCCUGCUUCCUCAGAUUUAGUCUACAGCUUGCCUCCCUGAGGUUGUCUUUCUCACCUGUCAGCCCCGUCUCAAAUAGCCCUCAAUCGGUGUAUCUCUUAAGGGAACACUUGAGUGUUGAAAUAGAGAUUGGGGGCAGGUAAUUGUUAGAAAUGCAAAGAACAAUAGAGGAGACCUCUCUCCAAGAAUAGAGCAAAGGGCUCAAGGAAACUCGAAGAGCUGGCAAGAGUGUCAGGUAGACUCCUGCAUCCUCCUCCUUCUCCGAUUAAAUUCUUCCACAUGCAUGUACCUUGAACAAGAAGAUAAGAGCCUUUAACCAAGUCUCUGCCCCCGGGGGAGGGUCCCUCUGUGCACAGCAAAGAUCAUCGCAAGGUCGGUGCCAUGGAAUUCUGCGGCAGGGACAGGACCCUCUCUCUGGGGCGAGAAGCAGGACCGCAGGUUCUAGCCCUGGGCCGUGCACAGCUGGCAGGGUGUCUGGUCCUGCUCUCUUCACCCCAGCUGUCACAUACUUCCACACGAAUGACUUCAUCAUUUCUGCCAACUUUCAUGUCAAUUAACCAACUCCUUGUUGUUAGUUCAGAAAAGAAUACUUGCUCUAAAUCGCCAACUCUUAAAGGGAUGGUUCCAGAUGAGGGCACAUCACAUGCUGGUUAGUGACCCCAGGGGUUUAAACUGGAGGCACCCUGGGUGUACGCCAAGCACGCUGCUUUUUCCCAAAUGCUUUAAAGUAAAUUACCCCAUGGAUAAUAUAAUGACCUGUCUUCCUGUUUGCCCACCAGGCGAAAACGCUGGAUGCUGUAACUGUACAAACGUGUCUGGUCUCUGUCCAGACCAGAGGGAUGAGAACACUGCCUCAUUCCAAGUCGUCUUUCCACCUGACCACCUUAAUAUAACUGCCUGUCUGUACACAGUUGAACACUAAAGUAUGCCAUCAUUGCUUAUUAAAUGCCUGUCUC